CUACUGUAGCAGGUGGAGAGUUGGGGCGUGGCUACUGUAGCAGGUGUCAAGUUUGGGGUGUGGCUACUGUAGCAGGCGGAGAGUUGGGGCGUGGCUGCUGUAACAGGUGGAGAGUGUGGGGCGUGGCUACUGUAGCAGGUGUAGAGUUUGGGGUGUGGCUACUGUAGUAGGCGGAGAGUUGGGGCGUGGCUACUGUAGCAGGUGGAGAGUUUGGGGCGUGGCUACCGUAGCAGGCGGAUAGUUUGGGGCGUGGCUACUUUAUCAGGUGUAGAGUUUGGGGCGUGGCUACUGUAGCAGGUGGAGAGUUGGGGCGUGGCUACUGUAGCAGGUGUAGAGUUUGGGGUGUGGCUACUGUAGCAGGCGGAGAGUUGGGGCGUGGCUACUGUAGCAGGUGUAGAGUUUGGGGUGUGGCUACUGUAGCAGGCGGAGAGUUGGGG